CCUUUUCUGUAGUUGUUUUGCUGAGUAGUUGCUACUCUCUGUUGUUUUGAGGAUUGGGCAACCGUCUGGAUUAAGGGCCGUGUUGAAAUUGCGUGUCCGAUGACUCGCUUUUGGCAUCUCGCCUGCCCCCACUGUUAUCAUCCAUACGAUUUUUCCACUACCUUAGGGAUCCGGUGCCUUCUUGCGGCUUGGGAAUGUAUAUUUUCCAAGGUUCAUUCCAUGUUUGGUAUUAGUUAGUUGCUUUGGUUCCAAUUAGUCUUUUUUUCAAAUGGCUGAGAGCGUUUUGUUUUCUCCUGCUGGUUAUUUCCUUUCGCUUGCGUAGGG
rnacentral:lncRNA from 1 species